UGAAAUUGUGGAGAAGGAAUUAGGAGUGGAGGAGUUAAGUCAGAUGGCCCGCAUUGUUCUCAAUGGAUGAGAUCAAUGCUGAAUUCAUGAGGAUUACAACUGUUCCUCUUCAACCGCGGUUCCUGGCUUCCUUGGACAAGCACCACAGCAAGCUGAUUGAUAUCAUCAAAAACAAGGGAGGAACUGUCAGAGAGAAGACCCGGAACAUACUGAGAGUUUUGGAUCAGAGUCUUGAGGUAAAUCUAAAG